CGGUAUGACUGCAAUGCAGAGUUCGACAUUCACCUGUAGUAGCAGCAAAAACCAAACAUACGUAUGACGUUGUUGGGACUCAAAGUGCUGCCAGCCAUGGGCUAUAAGAAAGGGCCCCGAACUAGAUCCCAUCAAGCUUCCCUGACAGACCCACCGCUGCAGAAAAAGAUGCAUUCGUGCAAGGCUCUGACCAUAUUUGCUCUCGUUGUACUGCACACCGCGAUGAUAUGCUUCUGCGAGCCAAAUCUUAGUUCUGGCGUCAGUGGAAUAAGUGACGUUACUACGCCUUCACAUAAAUGCGGUCAAAACUGCACAACAGGUGACACUGGCGAUAAAUGCCCAGGAGACUGCAAAUGCUUUUUUUACGGCCACAACACAACUGGAUCUUGCGUGGAUAUAAGUGGCAUUACUGAUUUGCCAGAUGGCGAAAUGCCUAACUCACAAGAUAUAGAGGACGCAGCACCAAUUAGCAGAUCAUAAUAAAUUGCUUUCUGGGAUUCUCA